GCCGCGGUAGCUCAGCCUGGGAGAGCGUCCGGCUGAAGACCGGAUUGUCGCUGGUUCAAGUCCGGCCCGCGGCACCA
rnacentral:tRNA from 1 species